UAAGAACUGUAACUCUCACCGCGAGGGUCCGCAGCUUCAUUCUUGAAGUCAGUGAGACCAAGAAUCCACCAAUUCUAGACACAGUAGUGUCAGCGCUUUCCUUCCAGUGUUUAGCUUUGUUUCUAGGAACUCUGAGACGAAAAAAGAGAGGCAGAAGAGGGAGGAAGAGUAGGCAGAAGGAGAGCAAGAGAAAGUACAACUUGUGUGUUAUGUGUGGUUGUUAUUUUAAGGAAGUUUAUUCUGACCAAUUUUAUCCAAAGAAUAAAUCAACAAACACCCAGAAGCAAUCUGCCCUAAAUUUUUUAUUUCCAAUAUAGACCUAAUCAGAAUAAUCAGGUUGUGUCAAAAAAGUUUCCAGUAAAAUGGCCGUCUCUGUCUUCUCCAUUGUUGUUGUUAGAUAUUAGCCCUUCUGAUUUUGCACAGUCCCCUUGCCCGGUAAUGUUUUAACUAAGUAAAUAUUUAAUACUAUACACUUUUCCUUUGGAAAAUGAAGGAGAACAAAUGGGAAAAGAUGUAACAAAUGUUUUGCGGCCCUGUUAUAAAUAUUUUGUGAAUGAAUCAGAGAAAUUGAAGAUGAAAAAAGCCAACUAAUUCAGCCAGUACCCUGGUGUCUACUGCUGUAUUCUUUCAAGCGGUUUGUCUGGUCUGGUCUAUAGUGACUCAGGUUAUAGGGAAUUUACCACUUCUGUCGAAGCUGCUUUCGUAGUGGGGACUAUGUAGCUGCUAGGAACGUUUGUCAAAUUCCCCUUGCUUUUGUUUAGUUUUCUCAUCAGUCUCAUUUAAUUUUGUUUAUUUAAUUACUUAUUUUUAGUGUCUUUAGAUUCUUGAUUCUAUGUGUCUUUUCUAUUUCUUUCUUUUUGUGUUCAUUCAGCCUUUCUCUCUUUAGUUGUUACCAGGAAGAAACCAAAACAGCUUUUUGGCUUGUGGAUAGGUGAGAAGUAACAAUUGGUUCCAUCACCAAAUUAACAACAACACUUGCUACGUCAAGUGUUAGGCUAAGUACUUUGCAUACAUUAUCUAAUUUAUUAAGCACCUUCUUUUUGCCAGACACUGAGAAGGCAAAGUUAAAUAUGACCCUGCCACUGUUGGCAGGGGCUUAUAAUGUAGUAGGGGAGAUAAGCAUUCAAACAGAUAGUGUCAACACAGCAUACUCAGUAUGGGGGGCUAUUUUCAGAGUAAUCCUGGAGCACAGAGGGUGGGGUCCACUCCAGCAGUGAAGAGCAAGGAAUGAGGGCAGAGCUCAGGUGGCGUGGGAGGGCGAUACCCCAGGUGAGUUGACCAAUAACCUGAUUCCUGUAAGAAUAAGAGUUAACUAGGUUAGAAGAUGGGGGUGUGGAGCUAGAGAGGAUAGCUACUUGGGAAACUACAUAAAGUUCAAUGUUAUUAGGUUGAAAAAUGUGAGAAGUUUUGGAAGAUGAGGUAGGCCAGGGGCAGAAACUGGCCAGGUUUGUAUUACCUGGUAGAAAACUUGAACUUUGCUUUGGAUUUUAAGAACAGAAAUAAGGCUGCCAUGUGAACAACACACAGGAGGGGCAGCAGAGAGACUGGCAUCUGUCCUGGUGAGGCAUCACCAGUGUUGGAAUCCCAGAGUCAGGUUAGCCAGCUCUUCUUGGUUGGAGUAUCUUUAAGGCCAUCUGGUCUGGCUCUAAAUGACUAGGAAAUUACUCAUCAUGUGCCUUCUAACUCUCUGAGUAGAUAUUUCAGUUUUCUUGAUGCUGAAAAGAGGGUAGUAGGGAAUGUAUGUUUGCUGCAGCCAGUGGGGUUAUGUCAAAUAAUGGUUACUUAUUGACAGUAGUCUAACAAUUUCUGGGAAGACUAAUGUAUUCCUAACUGCAUAUGUGGGAGAGAAACAAGAACUACCAUUUACUGAAUAUCCACUCUGUGCAAAGCCCAGUGCCAUGGGCAUUAACAUUCAUGGUAUCAGCAAGGUGGCAGCAAAGAGUCAAUCUUCUGAGAGUUAAGCAGUCCUAAUCAAAACAUUAUGGGAAAUAACUAUGUGCAGAAGUUAUCCUGCCUAAGAGAUGAGUUGCUUAUAUUUUCCUCCCAGCCUAAAAGGAAUAGUUUAUCAAAAAUGGUUAAUACUUGAGGUUGAUAGAUUUAAUACAUAUCCAAUUUGGGUAAGAUGACUAUGGUGUAUUCUCAGGACAGGAAGGACCCUAAAGGAUGCUAUAAUCUGACUAAUUAUAAUUGCAACAGCCUUCUCUGAAAUAAUGUGCUAAUGGAAAGGUAGUGUCUACCUAAAGCCUAGAAAAGGCAGCAUAGAGCAAAAGGCCUUGACCAGCAUUAAUUCAUAACAGCCAAUGAAAGAAGUGACUACCUAGCUCAUGUGCAUUAUUGAUUUCUAAGUGUCUAAAAACACAUCAGAAUUUCCUGCAGCUUAGAUAAAACAUUUGCUGAACAUUUAUUGCCAGAAUCUGAGCUUAUUGAUAAUCUCCUUAGUAUCAGGAGAGGGUAUAGCAGUAAAGUGUAGACUCUGCCUUCAGACCGCCCUUGACUUUGCCACUCAGAAGCUGUAUUAGUUAUCUAUGAAUACAGAACAAAUUAUUCAAACUUACUUAUUUAAAACAAUAUUAUUUCACAGUUUCUCUAGGUCAGAGAUUCAGAAGUGGCAUAGUUGGGCAGUUUUGCCUCAGGGGCUAUCAUGGUUGUUGUCAUCUGAAGGCUUGACUGGGUCAGGAGGGGAACCACUGCCAGGGUGGCUCAUCCACAUGGCUGACACAUUGGUCUGGUUUUAGUGCUCCACUUGUGGGCCUCCACACAGGCUGCCUGAGAGUCUUCACCAGAUGAUGCCUGGCUUCCUUGAAAGCGAGAAAUCCAUGAGAAAACCAGGUAGAAGGGGUAAUGUCUUACAUCCUAGCCUAAGAAGCAUGUGCCCUCACUUCCACCAUAUGCUUUUUAUUAGAAUUGAAUCUCUAAGUCUGGUUCAAAUCAAGGGAGAAGGAAAAUUAUAUUCCACUUUUUGAAGAGAGGAGUGUCAAAAAAUUUGCAUGCUACUGUAAACUGUCACACUGUGUGACCUUGAGCAAUCUAUUUAAAACCUUUAUGCUCCCAUUUUUUCACCAGUAAAGUAGAAAUAACAUUAGUAUCUGCUUUAUAGAGUCGUAAGAAUAAAAUAAAUCAAUGUAAAGAGCUUAGAACAGUGCAGAGUAUAUGGUAAGUGCUUUCAGUAAGUAUUAGCAAUGAUGCCGAUUACUAAUUCUAUUCUGAGUCUGUUUGACCUGUGAUAGAGCUAAUCCAGAGACAAGAACAAAAGCUGCUGGCAUCAGUCAUGGGUGUCCCUUAAAUUGAUCAUUCCUAUAAGCAAAGGUGUUAUCGCCACAUCAUCCUAUUGGGCUUUGCAGAACCUGGAUACUGUUUUGCCUAGGCUGCGGAUCCAGGACAGGCAGCAUGCAUUCUUCUGUGUCACAAAGCCUUGUUUUUCUUUUCUCAUCAGAGGAAGUGGUCUGGAAAAGUGCCAGCCAGGCUAUGUGACUUCUCAGGUUCAACAUCAUGGAGAUGAGAAAGACCAAAUGGCACCCAGGGUCCUGCUGAAAUCAGAGGCAUAAAUCUCAGCUGGAGCCAUGAGGAGCCAUUCAGGAACCCUUGAAUAGAUCCUUUCAGAUUCUUAGUGUGGCUUCAUUGAACAAAGACCUCUCCAGGGUUCUGUCCUAAAGUCACCUCAGAAAGCUGUGUCUCUGACAUCACAGGAAGGGGACCCAGGGCCAGAAAUCACUUCAGAAUCAUUCACCUCAGUUGCACCUCUGAGAAUUGAGCUAUCAUGAACAAACAUUACAAGAAUGCUCAAGAAUCUGGCUACCAAAUAGUCCACAGACAUAUUAUCCUAAAUUAAAUAAAAUUAAAACAUUUAUUAGGUACCUACUCUAGGCAAGUCACAGUAUUUCUUAAAUUGGAAGCAACUUGCUCAUGGAUGAAGAAUGAAUAGAAUUUUAACCCACGGAGGACUUAAAGAAAAUAAUUGCUGUCUGCUCCAGUCAAAGUCCACAGUGACACUCCAAGAACAUGUGUCAGGAAGUUGACUGAAAAGAGAGUUUUGAGUUUUUGACUUACAAACGCAUUGAGUUCAAACUAGAAACCAAAAUCUACUUUUUUGCCUACUUUUCUCAAGUACAGCUGUCACACCAACAAGUUUGCUUUCAAAAAGAGAAAAGAAGAUGUUUGAUAGGAUCAGAAUAUCCCAGCUCCUGAUAUCUGACCAAACUAAAUUUAAAUGUUCAGAACUUUGCUGUUGAAUAUACAGAGCAACAUGAUGGCUGGCACCAAGGAAGGCAAGACCACCAGUAGUCUAAAUGUUACCCUCAGGCAUGCAUGCCCCGGCAGCUGGCCCUUCCCUGAAAGAAAUGUCUCUUCUAUUUAAAGGCAAUGUCUGGGGUGAAGUAAUUUAUUAAUUUAUUAAUACCAGAAGUAAAAAAUACUAUUUUUGGCCCAACAUCCAUAUUAAUAUGGAAUAAAUGAGACAAGAAACCUCAUGGGUUCUCAGUGUAUUACACUUUCAGCCAACUGAAUAGAAGACUCGGCUUUAGGAUAAAUGCUUGGAUGUUUUAUAUACACUCUAUUAUUUAGGGAGGUCUGAGGACAUCUGGACAUAGAAUAUUAUUUUCAAGUUAUAGCACAUAAUUUUUCAGGCAAAAUUUACCUUUCAGAAUGGAUUAUGAGCCAUUUAAUUUCCCGUUGUGUUUAUGCAUAUGAAAAAAAUGCCACACAAGGAACCAGGCAGAGAAACAAAGAUAAGAGCUAGUCUUUUCCUUGCACAAAAAUCUGCACGAGGAAUGGCGGUGGCUCUCGGCACUGUGCACAGAUGCGUGGCUGUGAACCGCAUAGCUUUCUUUUCUUCUUGGAAAAUGGCCUCAAAUUAGUCUAGGACAUUGGGUGAACUGUUGCUAACUAAGUAAAAAGUUCAUUACUCUCUGCAACAGUGAAUGCCAUUGAGUUAUAUCAACGGUUCUGAAUUCUUUUUUCUCCAACGGCCCCAUUUGGCCUCUAAAUCUCUUUCACAACUCCUCUCCCCUUCUUAAAGAUGUUUCCUAUUCACUGUGAGACUCUUAUCCAAGGAAAAUAAAUGGAGGUGAAGGGCCUGGGGGUGGGGACAAGGAUGCAGAGGGGAGCCGUUUUAGAGAAGAGAAGGGGAGGUGAGAGCUGCUACCCACAUAAUACAUGGGCGCUUAUUAGAGGGCUGGAGGACUUUUUUUUGGCAAACAUCAAAUUAGGUCCAAGCAUUCAUCCCAAUUCACUGGAACGUGCAAAAUCAGUUGACAGGUUAGAGAAGAGAGGUUUUUAAAAGUUAACAUUUGUUUUUCCCCUGAAAAUAUGAAAUGACUGUGGGCUGCAGAAAAAAGUAGGAGCAAAUGAAGAGGGCUUUUUUUUUUCUUUUUCUUUUUUUAGUAUGAGAAACUAAAUGGCUGGAGUAGAACUAUUUCAUAUUUUAGAUGCAGGCUGUGAUAGCUGAAUAACCUUCUUAUUUUGACUCACAGCUUGACACAAUGCAGGCUUUCAUUGCAUGAAGAGCCACAGCAAAGAGUUUUGGGCCAUUUUCUCUUUUUAUUCAUUUUCUAAGCCCCAUCCCUCUCCCACCCCAAUUCCCCCAUUUCCUCUGUCUGGGUUUGAAUAGCUGAAGUGUGCCCACAAUAUGUAUGCACUAGACACAUUGUUACCUCCCUUUUACCAAAAGCACCUGGCAGGGUCACCAGUCCCAAGUUCCCCCAUGGAGCCUGGCUUAACUCUUUGAAUGACAAACAUCCAAAUAUAUUUUUCAAAUAAUUUUAACAAAUAUUAGAAAUAAUCUAACAAAUGAUUUUAAUUAAUACUUUAUGGGAAGAAAAUUAAACCUGUUAUAUUUGGUUGUUUUAUAAUUUUCUUUCUGAUUUCCUCUCUUCUCAUACCCUUUCCCUUGGGUUGUUAACUUACAAUGUGAACUUGUUCUUUCCCAGCUGAAUCAGUGGGAGAUGAUAUCGUUCAUUGAUUUUAAAUCUAAAUCUGAAAAUAUCUACAGGCUUUGUGGUCACAGAACAAGCAACUACACAUAUUGGGUAAAGGGAAAAACAUUACCCAUUGUACAGAAAAUCCUAGGAAUCAUCAGAUGCUUUGUAUUUCUAGAAACCUUGCUCUUUUCAAGAGGCCAGAGGGCCAUCAGAGCAUAACUCUUCAGAUUUCUGCUUCCAGCCAAUAUGGAGUAACAGGGACUAGAGGUACCCUUAUGUCUGAAACAACCAAAAAUCUGAAAAAACUAUGAAAUAAUCAUUUCAAGACACUGGACAACAGGAAGCUUAAGAUAACCUAAAGCAGAUGCAGAUCUAUUUUAGUUAGAAGUUGUAGUUUGGGUAAUAAGCAAAAGAGUUUAAUUUCUUCCUUGGUGGAGGUGUAGAAUGUUGGACAUGCUGCUUGUAGUAACCUGUGGGUGGCCCUACUCUUGUCCAGGUCAGACAGGAGUCCUCCCUAAAUACUGUGUGUCAUGGAUCUUCAAGAAGUGCACCAGAAAUGUGUUUUGAUGAGGAGAUAACCUCAAUCUCUCCUCAUGUUCAUCCAGACUGAGGAUGAAAUGAAAAUGAGGGCUACACCUGUCCUUGAACAUGAGCACAAGCUGAUUGUGUUUGGAGCCACAGUAGAAGAAGGAGCCACAGGAAGUUGGGGGCUGCCUCCCCCCAUCACAACAGAGGCCUAGCGAUGGGCUUCUCAGGGGCAACACCUAGACCACGGUGCUCGGCGGGGAACAGGAUGUCUGCAGUCUGUGGCUCACAUGCCCGUAAGAUGCCUUUUUCCCAUGGGAUGUGACUGAUGGAUAGGUUAAAAACAAGGACUUUGAAUCCUGAUUUGAAAAGUAAGUGUGACUCUUGAGGGAGCUUCAAGGGUGCUGUGAAUGUCCUGUUCCUUGAUCUGGAUGAUGAUUAGACAAGUAUGUUUAUUGUGUGAUCAUUCAUCAAGCUGUAUAUUGAUGACUGUGAACUUUUGUAUACUUCUAUCACAGUUCAGCAAAAAGUUAAAAAAACGAGUAUAGUGGUUCACAUUAAUUAUGUCUUUUUUAAACUGACCCUGUUUUGAUCCAAUUACUUCAUUAUAGAAGAAUGUAUUAGUAAAGCUCGAGUAUUGAUUUCACCUCAUAUUUUUAAUGAUGAUCUUAGAGGUCUUACAUAUUUUCAAAUAAUGAAUAAGAAUUCAUUCUCUUUAUUCCUGCAGGUGGAGACAAAGCUAUAUCAUUCAAUCCUAUGCCCUUUGUUAGGAAAUAUUUACUUUUUAAAUGGAAAUAAAUAUUGUCGUUGACAAGAGUGUGGCAGCCAUUGGGCAAGUAGGAUGGUAUUAUUUAGAAACUUAUGAUGCUCAACAACACAAAAGCCUGGAUUUUUUAGUUACCAGAUGACUAAUAUUUGUUAGUUCAUUUUUGUUCUGUUUUGUUUUCUUUUUUUCCAUUCCUAAUGUCAUAAACACAAUGCCUUAUUUUAAAAUUUUUCUGUUCUCUUCUGUUUGAUGUUAAAUUCUUAGAGUCAAGCACUGUACCUUUUUUAUUUUAAAAUGAUGGUACAGUUGGCAGUAUUACUAAUAUGCUUGUGAGACUGAAAAGGACAAUACUUCCCAGAGGCCUGUGAAACUACACACCAAUCCAAACUAACGUUAAGUGACCAGAUAUUCAAUAUUAUAAAAUACAGUCCCUAAUUUUGUCUCUGACCCCAAACCAACAAAUGAUGCAGAAUCUGUCUCAGUUUAAUCUCAGCACACCUGAACAUCAUUUAUCUAUAGGCAGCUCCUCCUCAAGCUAAGUGGCUGUCCAAAUACAACUGUAACACAGUUUUCAUUUGGAAGUCCAACUUCAGUUUACCUAGGGCAUUUUCCAUUCCUCUUUUGCUGAAGGUCUUCUGAUAAACAUAUAACCUGAAGGCAAGCGAGAUCAUUUUUCUUUCUAGCCUACAGGAAGCGGAAGCUGUGCUGGAAGUGGCCCCAGACAGCAUGGAUUCUGGGGGGAGAAAGUGUGGUGAGAAGGGAAGCAAGCUGGUUGCUGCAAACCUUGAUGCAGGGCCGGCUUCAUCUGUUCACAUAACACAGUCCACUCCACACAGCCCACUUAACAUUAAGAAGGGGGUAAUGAGAAGGCUAUGCCUGGAAAAGCUGUCAUCACCUUCUUGAUGAGCCAAGAGCUUCUAUUCAUGGAACGCUUAGAAUAUACCUAUUUGUCAGAGUACAGCACACCUGACCUCACCUGCAAAGAAUAGCUCAGGUGUAGGACCCGUCAGGAGAACAUCCUUUGAGGGUAAUGGCGUGGCCUAGAACAGCAGUGAGCAAUGAGUGGCGGAAUCCAGAUUAGUUGGGAAACUCCAACAGAGACUUGGAGGAGACCACCACUACCUAGAAGGGGCAGGAGACCUCUGGGCAUCAGAUCCAUCUAACUAGUAUUUGCCAAACACUGUUCUGCACCGGGGGCAGUAAGCAUCGGAUAUAGAAGUCAACAAGACCUGAAGUUCACAAGGAGUUCAUGGUUUAGAACACAGUAGGCAGUUCACUGAGUUGGAAUUUGUAGAAACUAUAAAUAAUCAGAGCUUUUAGUUUACUGUAAAGGAGUGAAUAAUUCAUGUGGCAAUUGUCCAGAUGUCUACAAGCAGAUUUCCAGCUCCUGUUCUCUUAGAUUCAAAGUUAAGGAAACCUGUUUUGAUGAAGAUAAUAUCCUUAACCAAGGCCCAGGAACAGGGAAGAACAGUGGAGUCCUCCUAAUAAAUUUUUCAAGAGAAUAGAAAGAGAGGAAGCUCCGGGCUGCCACACUGAAGUCUUGUGGUUCAGGAGCUCCCAGAGUAUGGGUGCUGAGAUGAGCAUGCAUCCUGGGGGCAGUCUCGUAGCCUGAAAAAAAUGUGUCUGAAGGCUAAUAUGUUCAACUCAUUGUCACUUGGUUGUGGGAACUCCUAAAUGAGCAAUGUAUUAGGGAAGAGCAAGUCUAACUUAAUGUACUGCCAGGGACUGGGCAGGAAUUGGAGUGAAGGCCCAGUCUUAGGUCCUUGGCCUUGGUCAUGACCAACCACAGUAUGCCUCAACCUUGUGGCUAUGCCAUAUUCAACAGAGAACCUUUUAGAACGCCUGGAAUUCAGCUAGCUCUACCUUUGGAAGAAGGAUAGCUGCUUUGCAACUGCAAUGAAGGUCAUCAAAAGAGGUGCGUCUGAGUCCGUGCUCCAGAAAUAAAGCUGGAAAACUGAGAAUUCCUUGAAAUUCUAGUAAACUCCUUGGCAUUCUGGGCUAUAUCAGGGUAUAUAGUGAGGAGGUCGGGAAACUGAAGGUAGUAAGGCAGGGAUUAAAGGGGUCGGAUUUCCUGUUAUCUGACCAUGUGAGAAAUUAAGUAUUUUACUUUGGCUCUUCGCUGGUAAAUAUUACCUUCUCAGAUUUAUUUAUUUUUUCUAGCCAGUCAAAUUUAGCAAUCGGGGGUUUUAUACCAACUUUAGUGACACUAAUGUUAAUAAAUUCUGAUAACCCACUACCAUCAGACCAGCCCUUCUCAGAUUUAAAAUUAACUUAUGUCUGUGGUCAUUUUCUAGUUACUAUUCAGGAGAUCUCGCAUAUACACAUUCAUCCUUUAAAUCGUUAACAGUGUCUACUUACACUCCUCCAUCAAAAACAAAAAGGAUCAGAGAAUUUACCCUCACGAGUAUUUCUGCUAAUCCUUUUAUUUUUGAAUUAUUUAAUAUUUUUGAUAGGGCACUCAGAAGAGAUCUCAGUUGGAAGACUACACCUCAUACAACAUUUUGCUUUUCUAGUUAUUUAUCUUGUAUUAAACUAAAUCCUUCAGAUGGGGAAUUGAAGGAGAAGGACCACUCCCAAGUCAAAACGGAGCGAGUGGGGGUUAAGAGUACUUGGAGAAUGGAGGAUUUUCCACUUUUCUCAGCUUUGGGGAAUUAAGGAAAUGAUAUGUCAAAGUAGGGACAGAACUCAGUGCCCUGGGAUACAAAUGUGAUGUACUGUACAAAGAGUAGGAUGAUCCCUAUGAGGUACAGUCAGGAUAGAGCCCAGCAGUGCCUCAACCGUAUACAUCCCUGGCUCAGGAAAUUCUGCACUCCAACAGCAGGAAGCAUAGGAGCACACUGAAAUCCUAGGGCUUAGAAGAAAUUCCUCACUGGUGGAGAAAGGUUAGCAGGCUAACAAAGAAGCUAUGUGAACCCUAAUGAGGAGAGAGGAGGAAAUCAGUUACCCAAAACAACCAGGCUUGGGAGGCCAAGCUAAAGGGAGAAAUUUCCCCCUCCAGGAGAUUACAGGAAGCUGGUCCAGAGCUCUGCAGCAGCAUGAAUAGGCAGAGGAAGGAAUGGUGAGGCAGAUAAAGAGGGUGACUGAACACUGGCUUGGCCCGUUUUAAUGCAGCUGACAGUGAGUGGAAGGAAAAUAGUGGAUGCCCAGACAAGGGCAUGUGGUUCUAGGUGAUUGUGAGAUCCUGCAGAGUUUGUUGUCAAUGGGCAGGGAGUGGAGAGGAGAGGCACAGUUGUCAGGACUGGACAGUUUGGAAAUCACGUUUCAAGAAAAUGACAACACCAAUAGGGCGGCCACCCCAUGGACCAUCAUCAUCUUGUAACCAGUGCAAGACCUUGUGCUUCUGGAAUCAUUCCAGUUGUGGGAGGUGAUGUCGUCCCGGAAAACUCUGCCUUGGGGACUGGCUGUAGAAAUGUGACCAGAUGGCUUUGUCAUCUUCCCCUGUCUACUCUGUGACUCUUCAUUUGGUGGAAAUGCUGUGAGGGAUGAACCAAAUGGAAACUCAGAUUUACUCUUCAGAAUAAUGCGGAUAAUAAUACACACGCACACACAGCAUGUAGAGUUGCUGUGUGGCUUAAAUAAAUAAAUGUACGCAAAGCACUAAAAUGUGUCCGUCUAAGUGUAAACACCAAUUGUGUUGGCUGUUAUCACUAUCGUUAUUCUUAUCUCAAAUAUGUGUUACUUUCUAAAUAACUUUAAUGUUCAUAGUUUGUUAAAAGACAAGAUGACCUGAAGAAAAGUAAGCCUUAAAAAUUCAUUAUUUUUUUUCUCCACCACUCUUUUCUUCUAAACUUCACUAUUCUUUGUGUUUUCACAAAAGUUGCUUACUUCACCUGGCAGAGAGAGCAUUACGCAGGGAAUGAUUAAAACAUCCUCACUUGUA